rnacentral:lncRNA from 1 species
AGGGACCAAUGCAAGUUUGGCCGAAAACGGCCAACCCGAGGCGGAUCGCCGCCGCAGGCGGUGGCGCCGUCGCUGGAGCACGGCGGAGCCGCCGUGCUGGAAUUCCGAUAUUGGCCGAAAGGGGCCCUAGGUCUGAUUUGGGAUUUUUUGGAACACGUGCAGGUACCGGUAGUGCGUUUUAGUUUUCUAGGAAAAAAUUCAGGGAAAUUAGGGACA